rnacentral:tRNA from 1 species
GUGUGCAUAGCUCAGUGGUUAGAUCAUCCCUCCAGAUUUGAGGUGGUCAUGGGUUUGAAUCCCAUUGCACACA